UUGAUUUAAGGUUUGGUUUAGGGUUUUGGAUUUGGAUUAGGAUUUAGAUUAGGGUUUGGAUUAGGAUUUGGAUUAGGGUUUGGUUAGGGUUUGAUUUAGGGUUUGGAUUAGGAUUUGGUUAGGAUUUGAUUUAAGGUUUGGUUUAGGAUUUAAGAUUGGAUUAGGAUUUGAUUUAGGGUUUGAUUUAGGGUUUAGGGUUUAGAAUAGGGUUUAAUUUAAGAUUUGUUUAGGAUUUGACUUAGGCUUUAGGAAUUAUUAGGAUUUAAGAUUUAAUUAGGUUUGAUCUAAAGUUGAGUGAAAUUCAAUAGGGUUUUAACUAGAAUUAAAUUAAGGUUGAAUUGACAUAUAUUUGAAUAAAAUUUGUGAUCAUUCUAAUAUUUCUUUUAGAAUUUUAUUGUUUGUUUGAAAUUUCUUUGAGUUGUUUUGAAUUUGAUUACGUUUGUUUACCAUUAUUAUAGUCUAAUUAGAGCAUUUCUAUUCUUCCUUCUACAGCCAGGUGCCUCGAGCAUUCUCAAGCAAGACUUCACACAUUACGACAACGUAGUCCCUAAUUAGAUAGUAUAUAUAGAGAUAAGAAUGAAGCCCUUUUUACUCUUGUCAACUCUUUUCUUGCUUUUAGUUUAGUUUCGAGGGUCUCUAGUUUUCUUGUCUUUUGGCAAUAGCCAUUCCAAUUUCUUUUUAAAUAUACAUAUUGAGUUAUUUCUAUUUUUUCAUCUUUCUU
rnacentral:lncRNA from 1 species